rnacentral:sRNA from 1 species
CCCUAGCCCGGAUAGCAGCGAAAAUCCUUUCUAGCCCUGAACUUGUUUCAGGAUCCUGAAACAAGUUCAGGACUAGAAAGAUUGUAGCGAAUAGCCGGAAAUAGC